CUCGUUGGAACAGUAUGGUACCUCACUUAGAAAUGACCAGUCUGGUCAUUUCUAAGUGAGGUACCAUAUUGUAUUUCUAAGUGAGGUACCAUAGCUCCCAACAUGUGCAUUAUCUUGAUAUCGAUCUAAUCAUAGACCAAAAUCAGAUUAAGAUGUCUGUAUACACGAAGCCCUUUUGCCAACCAGUCCUCAUCCCGAGUUGGUCCUCUGACCCUUAUGCUUAUAAGGUCUCAGCAUUUAACUUCUAUUUUAAGAGGGCGCAUAUGUAUUCAUUGGAUCCGGCCGCACUGUCUCAAUAAAUUAGAUUUAUGUACCGUUUAGGAUUGGAAUAUGGUUAUACUAAAAAGUUCUUGAACAGAUUGCAUCGGAAAGUAAAAGCUAGCCUCCGGGAUACCUCACAAAGCCAUCAGCAUCUAGCACAACAAGACAAUUUUUUGAUAGUACCAUACCCUAUGAAUAGAUCGGCCGCUGUAAGAGAUGUUAUCCUAAAAUCGGGAAAAAGGAUUUCUAUGAAGAGACCACUAUCACUUUUUAAUGCCCUC
rnacentral:lncRNA from 1 species